rfam:Gossypium hirsutum cultivar TM-1 unplaced genomic scaffold scaffold246.1, whole genome shotgun sequence
UGUUAAAAAUUUUCAUCUAUUAGUACCAUUAAAAAUUGGCAUGAUUGACAGAAUAACCAAACAAUGACACGUGGCAUGUCAUGUGUACCUCAUGUUGAUGUAAAGGGACCAAUUUUAACAGCAAAAAUGAAUGAAAUUUUUAACA